rnacentral:lncRNA from 1 species
GUGGCUCUUGCCACUUCUUGCCUGGCUGAGCUAAAAUUGCCGAUUCAUGAGAAACCACAACCGGUUCACAAACCACCAUCAUUUCACAAGCCACCCGUUUAUGAGCUAGAAGGACAUCAUAAACCACCAUUUCACAAGCCACCUGUGCAUAAACCCCCGGUUUAUGAUACAGAAGAACUUCACAAACCACCAUUUCACAAGCCACCAGUGCAUAAACCCCCGGUUUAUGAUACUGAAGAACUUCACAAACCACCAUUUCACAAGCCACCAGUUCACAAACCUCCGUCAGUUAAUUAUGAAACAGAAGAACUUCACAAACCACCAUUCCACAAGCCCCCAGUGCACAAACCACCAACAGUUGAUACCGAAGAACUUCACAAACCACCAUUUCACAAGCCACCAGUGCACAAACCCCCGUCAGUUAAUUAUGAAACUGAAGAACUUCACAAACCACCAUUCCACAAGCCCCCAGUACACAAACCACCAACAGUUGAUAUCGAAGAACUUCACAAACCACCAUUCCACAAGCCCCCAGUACACAAACCACCAACAGUUGAUAUCGAAGAACUUCACAAACCACCAUUCCACAAGCCCCCAGUACACAAACCACCAACAGUUGAUACCGAAGAACUUCACAAGCCACCAUUCCACAAGCCCCCAGUACACAAACCACCAUCAGUUGAUCCCGAAGAACUUCACAAACCACCAUUCCACAAGCCCCCAGUACACAAACCACCAACAGUUGAUACUGAAGAACUUCACAAACCGCCAUUUCACAAGCCACCAGUACACAAACCCCCUUCAAUUAAUUAUGAAACUGAAGAACUUCACAAACCUCCAUCUCACAAGCCCCCACAUGUUCCUGAACUACAAGAACACCACAAACCACCUUCUUACAAGCCCCCAGUACACAAACCACCUGUAGCUUUCCUGGCAGGAAAUGCGCGUAAAACUCUACCUAGACAGCAAAUAGAGGGCACAGUUAAUCCCGAGGGAGUGAAGCCAGAAGGACAUCACAAACCACCAUUUCACAAGCCACCAGUUCAUCACCCAUAGAGAGGUACCAGUGCAAGAGCUUGCAUGAUCAAGUUGCAUAAUGUAUCCCUAAUGAGUUACUAGUAAUGUUUGGUCUGAAAUAAGAGAGUUGCUGCUUAAUGAACUUUAGCUUCAUAUAACCAGUAUCAAU